UACGUAGGGUGCAAGCGUUGUCCGGAAUUAUUGGGCGUAAAGAGCUCGUAGGCGGUCUGUUGCGUCGGCUGUGAAAACCCGGGGCUCAACCCCGGGCCUGCAGCCGAUACGGGCAGACUAGAGUUCGGCAGGGGAGACUGGAAUUCCUGGUGUAGCGGUGAAAUGCGCAGAUAUCAGGAAGAACACCUAUGGCGAAGGCAGCUCUCUGGGACGGUACUGACGCUGAGACGCGAAAGCGUGGGGAGCGAACAGGG
rnacentral:rRNA from 1 species